UUGGAGGUCAGAGGACAACUUUGUG
rnacentral:piRNA from 1 species